rnacentral:lncRNA from 1 species
GCAAUUUUGAAAACAUGUUUCUGAAUCGAUUUCGUUUCACACUAACUUUCUCUUAAGAUUUAUGCCUGUGAGUGUUUUGCUUGCAUCUAUUAUGGGUACCCUGUGUGUGCAGUGCCAGAAGAGGGCGUCAGAGCCUCUGCACCUGGAGUUAAAGAUGGUUGUGAACUACCAUGUGGAUGCUGGAAGCUAGACCUAGGUAAGUCCUCUGCAAGAGCAGUCAUUUUUAGUCCCAUUUCUUCCUUUCCUUUAUUUAUCUAACAGAUGUCUGUUGACUGCCU